CAGAAGCCCUUCGAUUGCACCGCAGCCUGACAUCCGCGGAGGCGCGAGGGCCCGUUCAACGCUGCUUGCAGCUUUAAUUUUAAGUUAUAUUCUGUUAAUAACAUUGUGCUGCAACCUCAGACUGGGAUUAGUAAUUUUAGUUUCUUUUAAGAUUUCCCAGUGUGAUUGGCUGCAUAGAUGGCACACACAUUCCCAUCACGGCUCCCUCACGUAAUGAAGCCGAUUAUGUGAAUAGGAAGUCCAUUCACAGCAUAAAUGUACAGAUCAUAUGUGAUGCUGCAUACAUCAUUUCCAAUGUGGAGGCCAAGUGGCCUGGGUCUGUUCAUGACUCGAGGAUAUAUCGCAAGUCUAACCUGAGCAACAGACUGCAACGUGGAGAGUUUGAUGGCCUUCUGCUGGGUGACAGGGAUUAACUAUGCCAACCUAGGCUGCUGACCCUUUACCCUGACCCUGAACCAGGCCCCCAACAGAACUUCAACCGGGCUCACUGCAGUACGACAGCCUGGGUGGAGAUGACCAAAGGCCUGCUGAAAGCCCGUUUCCAGUGCCUACGUCACCUCAGGGUGACCCCUUAGAGGGCCUGUGAUAUUAUUGUGGCAUGUGUUGUUCUUCAUAAUAUUGCCACUAUUAGAGGAGAGCAACACCCUGCCCUACAAAUUGAAGACCCUGAUGAUGACCCCAUCCACCUGCCAGCUAUCCAGGACAGCAGAGCAGUCAGAGACACCAUAUGCCAUAAUCACUUUAGAGUUUAAGUCACCAUCAUCACCACCACCACAGCAGUCAAAUAAAGACAUAAUACACAUUUCA